rnacentral:lncRNA from 1 species
GCUGUUAGCAACUGGAAGGAAAUUGGCUGAUACAUUAAAUUUGAUUGACAUUAUUGAACGUCUUGGCAUCUCCUACCACUUUGAAAAAGAAAUUGAUGAGAUUUUGGAUCAGAUUUACAAUCAAAACUCAAACUGUGAUGAUUUGAGCACUUCUGCACUUCAAUUUCGACUGCUCAGGCAACAUGGUUCAAAACUCAAACUGCGAUGAUUUGAGCACUUCUGCACUUCAAUUUCGACUGCUCAGGCAACAUGGUUUCAACAUCUCUCCUGGUAAGUUCAUUAUAAAGCAUGCCUUAAUGUUGAUAAAAUUAUCAAUUUAUAGGAAGAAGGAAAAUUAAUCUUGAGUUUUCUUUCUUGAAAUACCAGAAAUUUUCCGCAAAUUCCAAGAUGAAAAUGGCAAAUUCAAAGAGUCUCUUGCUAGCGAUGUCUUAGGAUUAUUGAACUUGUAUGAAGCUUCACAUGUAAGGACUCAUGCUGACGAUAUCUUAGAAAAUGCACUUGCUUUCUCCAUUAUCCAUCUUGAAUCUGUAGCUCCACAUUUGAAAUCUCCAUUUAGGGAGCAAGUGAUACAUGCCCUUGAGCAAUGUUUGCACAAGGGCGUUCCUAGAGUCGAGACCCGAUUCUUCAUCUCAUCAAUCUAU